rfam:Schistosoma mansoni, Puerto Rico, WGS project CABG01000000 data, contig: 0115
AUCUAGCAGACGAGUCCGAAAUAAGACGAAACGUGAGUCCUGGAU